rnacentral:lncRNA from 10 species
UGGCAGAACAGAGUAAUGGUUAAGAGCUGGGUUCUGGAGGGAGCAAGAUGUGAUUGUGUGUCUGUGUCCCAGCUCUGCCACCUGCUAGAGAUGAGGAAACAGAGACCCGGAGAGAUACAGUCCUUGGCCAGUCAGCCAAGUUGGAGCAUAGCUUGGACUUUGAACCCAGUCUCCCAGCUCCCAGUCUGCCUGCAGCCCUGUCCCUCUCCACCCCCAAGCCCUGACCAGAAUUCUCUUCUGUACAUCCAGAAGGGCUUUCCCAUUCCUCAGACUCUCUGAGGCAA